GUCUCGUUCGUCUAGCGGUGAGGACGCCGGACUUUCACUCCGGAAAUCGCGGGUUCGAAUCCCGCACGAGAUGCCA
rnacentral:tRNA from 1 species